GCUUCACUUAUUCAUUCAAGUCAUUUGUAAUAAUCUCACCUUCUAUCAUGGUAUUAUUUGAGACAAGAUAACAGUAAAAAAAUUCUGUCCCAUAAAGUUUCAUUAGAACAAGGCUUCUAGUGAUGAAUUUUGUGUAAAUUUAACUGGUUUACGGUUUAUAUUAUCUGGUGAGUACUGACCUUACAACCAGUCAUUUAAGCGUGAGAAAAAAAAAUAAUCGUUAAGCUUUAAAAUUUGGAGACUAUAUAAUAUGUAUAUAUGACAUACAUAGUUUAACCUAGUAUCCUAUCUUGGCUAUUUUAGUGAGGUAGAAAAACAUUCCUGUUUUACCGACAUUACAUGCUGGAAAGCACUAAAAUAAAAAUAUUAAGCUGUAGCAAACAAAAAACGCACGAAAAAAAAUCCCAACAUACACACAUCACAAAAAAAAAAAAAAAACACAAAAAAAAACAGAACAUUAACACAUCUAUACUUACUUUAUGUCACACCCUAAAAAAUAUUAAAGUAUUAAAUAUACAUUUUUGUAUAUUUGUUUAUGAAUAUAUACAUAUUUAUACCGAACAAGUAAAUAUACCAAAAAAACAGAGAUACAUAUAUAUAAUUUGUGUACUGUUUGUUCUACAUGUACAAGUAUUGAUCAGACACAACUGAUGUCUUUACGGACGUUCCAGACAUCUCGUGCAUUUAGACGGGUUUCUAAAACCAAGUGUACACCUCUUGCUCUUAUCCUUGUUUGUAGUUUUUCUUUAGUCCUGAUGUUAUAAGCUAUUUUCGCAAGAUCGUUACGUGCCUCUUUCAUAAUAACAGGGAGAUCAUCAACAAUUCUUAUCCGUUUUUUUGCAAGUUUGUAAGCCUGAGC
rnacentral:lncRNA from 1 species